rnacentral:rRNA from 1 species
AUUGAACGCUGGCGGCAUGCUUUACACAUGCAAGUCGAACGGUAACAGGCCGCAAGGUGCUGACGAGUGGCGAACGGGUGAGUAAUGCAUCGGAACGUGCCCAGUCGUGGGGGAUAACGCAGCGAAAGCUGUGCUAAUACCGCAUACGAUCUAUGGAUGAAAGCGGGGGACCGUAAGGCCUCGCGCGAUUGGAGCGGCCGAUGUCAGAUUAGGUAGUUGGUGGGGUAAAGGCCUACCAAGCCAACGAUCUGUAGCUGGUCUGAGAGGACGACCAGCCACACUGGGACUGAGACACGGCCCAGACUCCUACGGGAGGCAGCAGUGGGGAAUUUUGGACAAUGGGCGCAAGCCUGAUCCAGCAAUGCCGCGUGCAGGAAGAAGGCCUUCGGGUUGUAAACUGCUUUUGUACGGAACGAGACGGUCUGGGUUAAUACCCCGGGCUAAUGACGGUACCGUAAGAAUAAGCACCGGCUAACUACGUGCCAGCCGCCGCCGUAAUAC